rnacentral:rRNA from 1 species
GUGUACCAGUUGUCGUGCCAACGGCAUAGCUGGGUAGCUAUGUAUGGACGGGAUAAGUGCUGAAAGCAUCUAAGCAUGAAGCCCCCCUCAAGAUGAGAUUUCCGAACUUCGGUUAUAAGAUCCCUCAAAGAUGAUGAGGUUAAUAGGUUCGAGGUGGAAGCAUGGUGACAUGUGGAGCUGACGAAUACUAAUCGAUCGAAGACUUAAUCAAAA